ensembl:lncRNA
GUGAGCACUAAGCCCAGCCUCCCACCCUCCAGGCGGUGGGCGGGUUGGAGACCAGGACUGGGAAGUCCAGGGUGGGCGGGAGGGAGGUGGCCGGGUGGGGGGAAUGGGGAGCCGGAAUGGGGUUGUCGGGCUGGGGCGAGGGCAGGAGGCAAUUUAUGUGGAGACAGGUGUUCCGUUGAAGUUUCCACCCUGGGCUGCAAGGGAGCUCCAGAAUAAGCAGUUUAGGAGGCCGAAGGGACGCAGCAAGGCCCGCGGCCAAGGCUCACCCGGCCGCGCCGCCGCCUGCAGGGGUUGGCCGCCAGAGCUGCCUUGCAAGGGGACUCAGGUGCAGAGAGAGGAGAAACUGUGGAUGCCCUGGAAUGGGCUCAUUGUGAUUGGGAAGAAGAUAGAGCCCCUGGAAAGAAACACGCCAAAGCCUAGAAUGGGGGACCCGAAGCUUGAGCCUGAGGACUGGAGACCAGAGGGCGUGGGAAAGAUGGUGUUGAAAGAGAAAUUAGAAGUGAGUCAGGAGGAGAUAGAUGGGAAGGGACCGCAGAGCCCAGCAAGUCCAUCACAGGCUUCUCCAGAUCUGGGGAAAGAGGGCCCAGGGGAGAGUGAGGAAAAGCAAGAGGCCAGAGGGAAAACUGGGGCCGAAGCUAGUGCGGAGAUGAUAGCAGAGUCUAGAAGGGAGAUUAUGUCUGAAGAGAGGCCAGAGAUGACGGCAGAGACUAGGAGGGUGUGUGCGUCUGAAGAGAGGUUGGGGCCCACGGUCUUGAAAGAGAAGUCAGAAUUUAGUCAGAAAGAGAUAGACGAGAAGGAACUGCGCAGCGUAGGGAGUGCGUCACAGACCUCUGCAGAUAUGGGGAAAGACAGCCCAAGAGAAACUGAGGAAAAGCAAGAAGUCAGAGAGGAAACUGGGGCUGAAUCUGGUGUGGAGGUGAUAGAAGAAUCUAGGAGGGAAUCUGUGUCUGAAGAGAGGUUAGAGGUGAUAGAAGAAUCUGGGAAGGAAUCUGCAUCUGAAGAGAGGCUGGAGGUGACAGAGUCUAAGAGGGGAUCUGUGUCUGAAGAGAGGCUGGAGGUGACAGCAGAGUCUAGGAAGGAGUCUGAAGAGAGGUUGGGUUCUAUGGAGGACAAGGUAGGGACCAGUGGAGAGGAUAUGAGAUCCAGAGGGGAUCAACUGGGACAGGAUGAAGAGCUGAGAUCAAGUGGAGAGAGUCUGGAGUACAAAAGAGAGAAACGGAGGCCCACUGGAGAGAAGCGGGCACCCAUUAGAGAAAGGCGUAGGUCCAUUAUAGAGAAGCCUAUGUUCAGGGCAGAGAGGUGGGGGUCCACAUUAGAGAAGCCAAUAUUCAAGGGAGAGAGGCGGGGGUCCAUUUUAGAGAAACCGGUGCAUGGGGGAGAGAGGCGGGGGUCAGUUAUAGAGAAGCCAGUAUUCAGGACAGAGAGGCGGGGGUCCACUUUUGAGAAGCCCAUGUACAGGACAGAGAGGCAAGGCUCCACUUUUGAGAAGCCAGUAUUAAGGGGAGACAGGCAGAAAUCCAGUGCAGAUAAGUCAAAGAUGCAUCGAGAGAAACUAAGGCUCAACAGAGGAAAUUUGAGAACUGGUGAUAAAAUGGUGUCAGGUGUGGAGGAAUGGGGAUCUAGCGGGGAGAAUUUGGAGGACGGUUCAAGAAUGGAAAGUGUAAGUGAAGAGAACAUUGUAAGAAUACAAGAAGCUACUAGUGAUGAAAAAGUGAUAGAAGUUACCAAUGAGAAGAUGGAAAUUCCUUUUGAGAGUGUGGAAGAGAGAGAUGAAAAGCUAGAAGAGACUGAGGAAAGAGAAGUUGACGAAGAUGCCUUGCAUGAAACAGAAGAUAUUACUGGUGGAUCUAUUUCUAUGGGUGAGAAGGACAUGGUAGAUGAAAUAGAUGAAGAGCCCAGUGAAUAAGGCAGUUGAAAGAUUGAAGCCGAGAGAGUAUUGAAAAUAAAAGAGGAAAACUUAGAGUUAAGCACAAUGUUAUUGAUACUGAAGGGGUAAAAAGAGAGAAAAGGAGAAUCUGAGGCAAAAAGAAGAGUGGGAAUUGAAACAGUUACUGGGCAUGAAGCGGGGCCAUUACCAAGGAAAGCCAAGAAGAGAGGGAAAUGGAAGCGUUUUAAGAAGGAAGACAAGAUUGGGUAAUGAGUUUAUGGGUAAAGGAAAAUUGGAUAUGGGGUUCUUGAAAAGCUAUUUGAGAAGUGAACUACAGGUGGGCUAGAAGAAUUUCAUCUGAACAUGAUUGGGUGUACCAGAUGGAGAAGAAUGCCUAGUGAGGAAAAGCAGGAUGAGAACAGCGUAAAGGACAGAUAUUGAGGGCUUGAAGAAGAAGCAGGUUGAAGUGACCGAAAUACCUGAAAGUGGAUCCUGAAAAAUGACAGGCUUCAAAGUGACAGGAGAGGAAAUGAGCACAUUAAGAUGUGGGAGAAAAAAAAUCUCCCCAAACUCAGUUUCCUGGCUGCCAAAGCAAGCUCUGCACUUCUGCCUGGGGGUUGGGAUGAAGCUAUGAAACAACCCUUCCAUUCAUUCAGUGAAUGCUGUGGAAAAAGUGCUUCCACGAUUUCUGGAUGACAUUUUCACCUGGGAUAUCAGAUGCAUUCCAUCAAGGCCACAGAUGGACAAAUGAAGAUCAAGACAUGGUGACAAAUGCCAGCUACUUUGCUAGCGAACCUGAAAAGCCUUUUGCCCAGCAGAGGGCAGUCACAAACUUGGCUGGGAGAAGGAGACCUGCAGGCUCGCGCGGAUCGGCCCAGCAUGCACUCAGCGUCCAGCAGAGGGCGCGUCUCCAGGCUGGCAUGGAUCAGAAACGGAGGAGAAUAUUGAAGCAGCAUCCCAAAUAUUAGUUCUGAAAAACAAAUGGAUACGGAAGAACAAACGAGCACCUUGAGAUCCAACCAUGGCCCAAAGAGGCUGCAGAUGAGUUGCCACGCCCUGAGGUGCCUCUCGGGGAGCCCUGGAGGCUCUGACUGACUGGAGUCACAUGUCGGACAGGGUUGCUGACAGGGUGUUUGCUGUGCUCGUCAUCCUGGAUUGAACCCUGAGGUGCUCUACCACAUCCUGAGCUCUGUUUAUUUAAUUUUGAGACAUGGUCUCACUAAUUUGCCAGAUUGGGUUUGAACUUGUGAUCCUUCUGCCUCAGCGUCCUAAGCAGUUCCUGUCUGCAGGCCUGGGGUGGUGCCCAAGACCACAGAAGGAAUGCUCCCGACACAGUCACACAUGGUCCUGUUGGUUGGAGUUGGUCAUUCCUGACCUUGACAUCAACCAUCUUAAUCUCCAGAAAUAGGCUAAAUGCUAGUCCGGCCACUUGUGUCUCUUCAUCAUCUCCAGGGCGACUGCAUAUUUCCAGCCUCUGUGCUCCAGGAUCUAAUAAUAGGUGGGAUGAAAAGACUGUUUCCUCUGAUGCACUUUUAUGAGAUGUUUUCAAAGAGGAUGCGGUGGGGGAAUGGAUAAGCUGCUCGCUCAGUACAGUGAGGCGUCAGAAUGACGGGGCAGGGAAGCCCCACCUUCCCAGGGAGCUCUUGCUCAAGACAGCCCAGUUGUUAGAGGGCCAGGAAUCCGGGAACAUCAAGGCAGCCUCAGACCUUGUAACCUAGAUGUCAUUGUGCUUUUCAGGCAAUGAUGCCUGAUCACUGCAGGCAGAAGUGUGGCCAAAGGGCACCUAUGGGCCCGAAGCCCUUUCCACAGCAGCUCUGCUUGGGUAAUGGUGCUUCAUUAAGCCUGUGAUGUUUAGGGAUGUCAGACAUCUCCUUAACCCUGAAACACCUUUUGCUCGUGAGUGGUAAAGAGUUGGAUUUCUUAUCAGAAGAAUAUUUUAGCUAUGUGCCCUGGAGAGGAACUACUGUCCCCAUGAGGGGACAGCAAAGCCUCAAGGACAAAGGGAUUUCCUAGAGACAAUGUCAGGAAGGAGGGAGGUACAGAAGGGGACUCUGGAGUCAGCCUGGAAGUUGGGGUUGAGGGAACUCAUUAAAUCUGUUAAGAGGAGCCUAGAUGUUUUGAGCAAGAACAGGGCAGCACCAAAGCUGGGAGAGAUUGUGAAAAUGGUUCAGUGUUUCUGGAGUCUGGGAGGAGAAACUUAAUUAUGCUAUUUAAUUAAACCAAAAGGAAGGGAAUAGAAUAUUUGGUUGCCAAAAGGUGCUCUUAUAAAAAACUGUGGGCUGAGCUGCAGCACUGGGUACCAACAAAGGCAUGGGAGGCAGUGCAUCAGGAAGGACAGGCAGCAAGCUCCAUGGCUGCAGGUCAUCCUUGAUGUGUUUCUGCCAUCAGAAUUUGCCCUUGAUGUCGGGACUCUUCAUUUAUGCAUGUUUGUGCUGUUAAGAUUGUCUUCUGAGUCAUUUGAGAUUUUUAAGAAUAUGUUGCCAAAGUCAACAACCAACAGUUUAGGGUGGCCUGGUCCACCCAGGUCUGGUCCAGGAGGGUCAGGACCCUGCCUCACUCUCACCAUUUCCUGUGGCCCUUCCUCCCUACCAUCCACCACAUGGCACUCCUGGGCCACAGGUGGCUAUCAGCCUUUUGCCUUCCUCCUGCAAAGUUGGGCUCUUCACUUGGGGAGUGUGUGUAUACUCACACAUGUACAUGCUCGCUCACAAGUGUGUGUGCACACUCGCACACAUGCCCAAGUGGGUGGGGAGGAGAGAGUUCUGUUCCCUUGUGGUGAUUGCCACCAACCAAUCAGCUGGACUCUGAGCCGAGCCAAAGUGAAGCAAGAGCGACAUCGGGUGCCAAGAACAAGAGCUUGCUGUGAUAUCAGGUGUUUUCUGGCCUCAGUGUGUAGGAGCAGAGAGAAAGGCUUGGCUCAUUCCAGAGCCUUCACUCCUAGGGAGCAAGGAGUUUCUGGAUGGGGCUUCAUGUCAGUAUUCUGCUCUGCUCGUUUGCAUGAGGGAAUUAGACGCAGACUUGAGGCUUUGAAUGGAUUUUUAAAAUAAAAAUCAAGGCAAAGGUUUUGUUGGCUAGAACAUGACACAGGGACCCAGGUCAACAUUCUAACCCUGUACCUGCCUGCAGUGUCCUCUGGAGGAUAACUGUGCCGAUGUCUUUAGUGGACUACGUAAAAGUCUGACCUAGUUCACAGAGGUGGCGUGUUUGCUCUGGAGGCUGCUCCUGGGGCAGGCUUCCUGUAGCUAGAGUCAACCUCAUUUAGCCAGAGGUAGGGAGCUAAAAGGUAUUCCUGUGGAAUGGCUCCCUGAGAAGGGCUGGCCUGGCUUCCACAAAGAUGCUUUGGGGGACAGGAUGUCAUGGGCUACCUAAAGAGGAUCCCCCCAUGCAGGUGGGAAAGAAUAUGGUCAUGUUAUUUGCCAUUCAGCUGGUCCUUCUUCUUAGCUGGAGCCUGCUUGGCUUUUUCCUUCAUGGAAGAUAAGGCGGGGAAGAGGUUUGUUUGUCCAGAUGCCACCAGUCGGAUGACUAUUGCAGGCACAGGAGUGUCUCCAGGGCACAGUGCCAGGCCAGGUCCCACCUAAUGUCUCUAUUCCUCAUCCAGGAGUGCUGUAAUCAGCAGGUUGAUGCAAAACUGGGAAGGGUUGAGAAACCCCUUGGGCAGGAGAUUUCGAAAUGAGAUUCGGAUUAGAAGAAACAUAGUGGGUGGGGUUUUAAAGAUUGAAGGAGACAGGACAAACUCCCCUCCCAACACUGACACUCCGCUGGAUAGCGGGGAUACACAGAAGAGCCUAGAAUGGGGAGGCAGCAGCACAGGGCUGUGAGGCAGCAGAGAGUUCUGAGUGCUGUUUCCUGACCACCUAUCCCCACCCUUGACAAGGAGCCCUGUGUCUGUCCAUUCACCAGGCAAAACCACCCCUGCCACAGUGCUUUCUGUCUAGGGCAUGUCAGCACCAGCUAGGGGUAGAUAGAUAAAGCCAUGGAGAAGCGAGGGAGGAGGGUGCUGGCAGGAGUGGUAGGAGGAGAACUUGACUAUGUUGGACAAGGCAAAGAAGGGGUUAGUCCCCAGUACCGAAAGGAAAAAACAAACAAACAAACAAAAAACCCCAAGGGUGAACGAGCCUGUGACCCCAUAGCCUUUGUCCCCCCCAGUGGGAAGGGGCAGCUCCCUCCUUGGGUGGCCAGCAGCUGUCACACUGUCUGUGCCCCCUCACCACAUGAUCCUAUCUGAGGUUGGGCUCAGGACACCAGGCAUUGUGUGGCUCCUGGCAGAUGCCCACGAUAUGACGAACCCAGAGGAAGUUGCUGGCUGGAUCUGAAGCCAGAGACAGAGGUGGACUUGAGAAAAAGAAGGAAAUGGAGGAAGUAAGGGAGGAAGAGCGAUGCAAAGGAUCCCAAAAAAGGAAAAAAAGGAACUAAGAAGGAAAGGCAGGAGAAGUGGCAUUCUAGAAGGAGCAAAGAAGCAAGAAAAGAAGACAAAAAAGAGGAUUAUGUCUCAUUUGAAGGAAUUAAGAGUGGCAUAGUCAAGAAUGAGUCUCAGGCCUUAGAAAGCUUGUCAUGAUGAAUAAAUCAUUCCAUUCAGGUGGCUUGAUGAUGGUGGUACUCUUUGAAGAAGUCAGGACCAUACAGUGUAAAAGCCAAGAGUGGGGCUGUAAGAACUAGCUGACCAGCUCUAAACAAGAGGGGCUUAUGAUUCAUGCCCGUACAUACCUGCCUCGUGCAGGGUGGGGACCCAUCUAACCUGAAUCACUGCCCAGCCCCUCCCAGUCUCCUUAGAUGACAAGCUGUGGCAUCCUUGGUCCACCCAACUCACCCCCAAGCAUUUUUCCAGAACAGUAAACAAGUACAGGUGAGGAAGGUCACAGAUCUUUUGGUUUGGGGCCAUUUUCUCCUCCCUCUCAGUGCUCACCAUGUGACUAACCAGGGGUUUCUCAUCAGGGGCUUUUUAGUCUUUCUUCAAAGUGGUCAGAAGGUUGCCAGAUGCAUUCCUCUGAGCUCAAAGUUUAUUUCUGUAUUCUAUUAUGGACUGGGAAAUCCAAGGUUGCCUGAAACAUAUGGGAAAAUCGUCUCUCAUUUUUAGCAUGCCCAGUGUUUUCAACAGUUGAUGCAAAGUUGACCACAGCUGAUCACCUUUCUUGCCAAAAUUAAACCAGAGAUGAAUGUCAUUAACUAUUACCUCCAACAUUUGUUUAGAGGUUUAUACUUUCUAAGCAACUCAUUUUAUUUAAUCUCUGUAAUAAUCCUGCAUUACUGUUAUUCUGCAUUAUAGACAUUGAGUCUCAGAAAAGGUAAUUUUUUAUUAAUAAAUUUUAUUUUAUCCCAUUUCCCCCUCCUGCCCCCUCCCCUCGCUUUGUACAAAAGCUUUGUUUCCAUUUUUUUCCUUCUAUUUUCAUUUUUUUCAGAAAGGUAAUUUUUCCCCAGAGUCUAAAUUCCUUGGGUUCAAACAGUUCACCCUGAAUCAGGUAUAGUGGGGUACACCUGUAAUCUCAGCCCUCUGGGAGGGUGAAACAAGAGGAUCACAAGUUUGAGUCCAGCCUAGACAACUUACUGACCUAGUGAGAUCCUGUCUCAAAAUAAAAGAAUAAAAAAGGGUUGGGGGUGUAGCUUAGUAUAUAAGCCCUGGGUUUAAUCCCCAGUGCCACAAACAAAACAACACAACCAGGAUAUCCUCUGACGCAAAUCCUUGGUGCUUCCUAUACAAUGUUAUCAAACUCUUUAGAGUUCAGAGUGACAUCAAGGGCAGAUUCUGGUGAUCUUUCCUCAAUUUGUUCUCUCACUCUUCUUACCACCCAUUCACUUUCUGCCCUAUUUCUAUGACCAUCCAGUGGGAAAAGAGUACACUUCUCAGGGAAGAACAUCUACAUAAAGCAAAGGACUCUAACAUUUCCUUUGCCAAGGGCCCUUUCUUUCUCCAAAGUUUCUUUCAUGACAAAAGCAAUAGGAGAAUAUUGUAGAAAAAGUACAAAAUCUAGAAAAACAAGAAGAUAAUAAAAAUCAUCAUUCUGCCAUUGAGCAAUAACUUUAGUCUUCCAAACUCAGUGGUAUAUAGUCUUCUAUAACUUGUGUGAUAGAUAUAUGUAUGGAGUUACCUAAAUUUAUAAAAUUAUAAAAAUGGCAAAUUUUAAUAAAUGUUUUGCUUUAAAUUAAUUAAAAUGGCAAAUGUACCUACUCCAUAAUACUGUUUGGGGACUUGUUUUUUAAUUUAAUAUAUUGUAAAUAUUUUCCUGAACUAUUUUUAUAAAAUAUUUAUUUAGUUGACACAUAUAUCCUUGGAGAGGUCUUUUUUUUUUUUUUUUGGUACCAGGGAUUGAACUCAGGUCCUUGUGCUUGCGAGGCAGGUGGCAGAACCACUGAGCUAAAUCCCAGGGCCUGGAGAGGUCUUUUUGAGACAGGGCCUCACGGGCCAGGGAUUUAGCUCAGUGAUUAUGCUGCCUGUCUCGAAAGCGCAAGGACCUCAGUUCAAUCCCCGGUACCAAAAAAAAAAGUAUAAGAGACAGGGCCUCACUCUGUAGUCCAGAUCAGCCUGGAACUCACCAUGUGCCUCAGUGCUGUGAUUGUCAUGCUCAACUUCAUUAUGCAGAUAUUCCUCAUUGAAUGACCUGUUUACAGACUGUCCAGGCUUACAACCCACUGCUCAGACUUAUGGUUCAUCUCUUUUUUUUUGUACAGUUCUGCACAUCUUAUUUAUAGAGUCUCAAUGUCUUUUUUUGUAUAGUAUACCUUGCUUAUUACAGUACUGUAAUUUUUGCUGAUUGUACUGUAUAAUAUAGUGCUGUAGUUUUAUGUUCUGUUAUACAUUACAGUAUUGCCUGUAAGAGUUAUGCAAAUAAAAGCAAAGUCCUCAAA